rnacentral:rRNA from 5 species
UACCCCCGAUCAAGCAAGAAGACCCGCUGAAUUUAAG